rnacentral:rRNA from 1 species
UACAGAGGGUGCGAGCGUUAAUCGGAAUUACUGGGCGUAAAGCGCACGUAGGCGGCUUUGCAAGUCGGUUGUGAAAUCCCCGGGCUCAACCUGGGAACUGCAUCCGAAACUGCAUUGCUCGAGUAUGGGAGAGGGAAGCGGAAUUUCCGGUGUAGCAGUGAAAUGCGUAGAUAUCGGAAGGAACAUCAGUGGCGAAGGCGGCUUCCUGGACCAAUACUGACGCUCAGGUGCGAAAGCGUGGGGAGCAAACAGG